AUUGAACGCUGGCGGCAGGCCUAACACAUGCAAGUCGAGCGAGCGGCGGACGGGUGAGUAAUGUAUGGGGACUGCCCGAUAGAGGGGGAUAACUACUGGAAACGGUGGCUAAUACCGCAUACUAUCGGAUAACCCAUAUGGGAUUAGCUAGUAGGUGGGGUAAAGGCUCACCUCGGCGACGAUCUCUAGCUGGUCUGAGAGGAUGAUCAGCAACACUAGGACUGAGACACGGCCCAGACUCCACCGGAGGCGGCAGUGGGGAAUAUUGCACAAUGGGCGCAAGCCUGAUACAGCCAUGCCGCGUGUAUGAAGAAGGCCUUAGGGUUGUAAAUUACUUCCAGCUGGGAGGCGUUACCCGAAGAAGAAGCACCGGCUAACUCCGUGCCAGCAGCCGCGGUAAUUC
rnacentral:rRNA from 1 species